rnacentral:tRNA from 1 species
GGGGCCGUAGCUCAGCGGACAGAGUGCUUGGUUCCGGACGUCAGGCCCGAUAGCGGGUUCAAAUCCCGUCGGGUCCG